AGGAAGUAGAAGGUGUUGUGGUCCCAUUAUUUUAGAGGAACAUGAAAUUGUGUCCCUCCUGUUCUGUAGUAGAGUCCUGUCAGACUAUGUCGAAUUGGCAGAAAAGGAAGUUAAUUUGGGACUAUUGGUUUCGCUGUUAUUUCUUAGGCUUUGUUAUGUUAUUCGUCUAAAUUUGUUAUGUUAUUCGUCUAAAUUUGUGUUGUUUGACCCACUGUAUACUGUACAGUGCAUGGAACUACCUAUUUCUGACAAAUAUAUUGCUCUCUGGAAAGGUGUGUGUACUGCUGAUUGUGGUGGCGUGUGCAAGGGGCGCCGUUCCCUGUCCUAUGUGGUUCCUCGGCUGCACCCUCCUCUCACGAACAAUCAAUCUAUGUGAUGUUUUCUUUAGAGAUCGUUCAAAUAUUGUUUUGUUAGAACCUCUAUAAUAUUCUCUCUGCUUGGGUAUUGGUUGUUGCAGGAUUAGAAUCGUAUCGUGAUACCCACCAUAUGAAGCAAACAUCAGCAACGACCUAGAUGACUGCCUGAAGCUCUCCAAGGAGCAUCCAAGUAUGCUGAACUUUUUUUAUAUAUAUCUGGGAGUCAUACGCUGGACACUACACUCCUGCAUUUGCAACUCAUGUGCCAAGGCGGAAUAGAACAAUGAGGGCAUUUACCUUGAUUUGAAGGUUUCAGUCAACUCCUUUUGGAUCUCCCCAUGUUGUAAAUUGUUAUGAAGGUUUUUGUAGUUUAAUCUUCUUUCUCAAGGUGUUUGCAAUUAGCAUGGCUUACAGAUCCAGUAUAAGGUAUGCACCAAUUAUGCAUUGGAUGUGGGUGUUUGGUGUCCCAUGUCAGUCUCAUGGACUUGAUUAAUUUGCAUACUGCAGAAUGCAGCAGUACUUUGCUCAACAAAGGUACAAGUUAAUCGAUUCAUCUAUCUGCUGGAUUAAAUAAUAUAUGCAUGAGCAUAUUCAGUUAAUUAGCAUGAGCAUAUCCAUCUUCUGAGGUAUACAUCAGAGAGAGGGAGAAUUCUUAUUAGCCUUAGCUUUGGCGUUGUAUCUUGCCUUGCUACCUGUUUUUUUUUAUUGCGAUACCAUAUUCAGUUCCGUGAGGCUGAAAAUUGGGUGCAAAAAUAUAAAGUGGAAUACCCUGGAAGGACAAGUAUAUUCAUAUAUAUUCAACCUAGGUUUUCAGUUUUACCAUCUUCCUUAGCUGCUGCAACAUGAAGGAGUGACUUUACAGGAUUGUCAUGGACUUUAUAUAACUACCCAGCUACACGCAUACACUAUUUUUUUGAGAAUACACACAUAUUUUGCUUGCAAUUGUGAAUAAAAGACUGGUAAAGAUAAGUGUUAACUGUGUAUCCAUAGUCUUGCUCUUUUUUCUUGGAUGUUUAAGUCAAAUGUUCAUUCAUAGUCUUUUUUUAUAGAUGUCCCUGCC